UUAAAAAUACAAAAAUUGAUUGAUAGAUUGAUUGACUGAUGGUUUAUUGUUGCAAAAGUACACAACAAAGGAGAAGGGAGGAGCAAUAAUACAAGAAACAUAUAUGUCUAUACAAUAUCCAUACCACUAUAAGCAAUGGAGGACAUGAUAACAUCCGGAAUAUAUGAUAAUAGAAAACUAGAAAAUAAAGGUAGAGAAUGUAUGAAAACCAACAAAGUCAAUAAUAAGUAGCCCAACUCAUAUAAAUACAAAGAUAUGUGUGUGCCCAACAGCUGCUCCAGCCGUGAGGGGUUCACCAAUAAUCGAUAACAAUUACAUAAUCACAUAUAUAGAAAGAAAGGGAGAGAAGAGGAUAGGGAGAGGGAGAGAGGAGGAAGUGUCAAGCAUUUUUCCAGAAUCCCACCAAAUAAAAACUUAGAUGGUCAUUAAAGAUUAUAAUCGUCACAAAAAUACGGAUUCGGCGGAUAAAAUCGCCAGUUGGUAACUCUGAUCUGCCUUCCUGCUCCCUGCGUCUGUGUGACCUUCCUCCUUGACAGUCACCUUCACAGUUACCUUUAUCUAGCUCAAAGGGCCAACGGGACGGAGACGAGGACCGCCGCCACACGCAGCAGUAACCAAGGGAGUCAGUUCAAGGGCAAAAAAGAAAAACAGGAACAAAAAGGCCUGCUAGACUCUGCUCCUUCAAAAGACAAAAGACCGAGAGGACGAAAGAGAGGCAAACUUCUGGUGAAGAGGACGAGUCUUGGAGCUGCUGAACGGGCGCCCCCAUAUAAUGUUCUCCAGAGCUACAUGUGGGCGAUGCAAAGGGUGCCAUGACGUCCCCUCCCCAGGUUCCAGCUCCCGUCCCGUAGGAGACGCUACCGCCGUUGCGCAAGCUUCUGUUGACGACAGCCAUCCCUCCUUCCUCCUGCUGGUGAUAAUAGUCAGUGGGUUGUGGGUGGUAGCUCUGUUCUGCCAUGGUGACCUGAGGGUUGUGGCUGCCAAGCUUAGAUCUCGUCUGUUUUAUACACUAGAACUCAAGCGGAACUGGGAAAAGAAGUGCAAUGAGUGAGAAGGAACAAGGAAAGAAGUUGAACAGAGGAGGAAGUGGCAGUAUUCAAAAUCAUCUUUCUGAAUUAGGUUGAUGUAAUAAUAUCGAGACAUAAAAUUAGUUUCGUUUCACAGACACAGUUCAACCCCAUACUAACCACACCAACAACUGCAACAACAAUUGCAUCAUUAACAUUAGGAACAAUCUCAACAAGGAAAGCAACGUCAGUAACAUCAACAUCUAUGAACAACAACAGCGCAACACACACACACACAAAAACAAAGACAUCAAAGAGAACAGCACCAUCAUUGAUAUCAACAUCAAUG